rnacentral:rRNA from 1 species
GAUGAACGCUAGCUACAGGCUUAACACAUGCAAGUCGAGGGGUCUCAAGGGAGCUUGCUUCUGCGAGACGACCGGCGCACGGGUGAGUAACGCGUAUCCAACCUGCCAUUCAUAUUGGGAUAGCCUUCCGAACGGGAGAUUAAUACCGAAUAACAUGAGCAGAUUGCAUGAACCUCUCAUGAAAGCUCCGGCGAUGAAGGAUGGGAAUGCGUUCCAUUGGGUAGUAGGGGGGGUAACGGCCCACCUAGCCUACGAUGGAUAGGGGUUCUGAGAGGAAGGUCCCCCACACUGGAAGUGAGACACGGUCCAGACUCCUGCGGGAGGCAGCAGUGAGGAAUAUGGGUCAAUGGGCGCAAGCCUGAACCAGCCAAGUAGCGUGAAGGAAGACUGCCCUAUGGGUUGUAAACUUCUUUUAUACGGGAACAAACCCCGGUACGUGUACCGGAUUGCGUGUACCGUAUGAAUAAGCAUCGGCUAACUCCGUGCCAGCAGCCGCCGUAACAC